CAGAAUUAACAAUAGGCGCAGAAAGGAGAGGCAGAGACCAACAUCCCUCACGCCGCUCCAUCCCAGGGUGCUUCAACUAAAGCCAGGAGGGUUUUGCUUCGAUUCCCACAUUCUGGAGCCUAAGAUUUGGUGUGCACAGGGCCAGGAUGCAGCGUUGUCCCAGCAAAGCCAAGAAAAAAAAUGUCCCUUUUAGGAGAAGAGGCAAAAGCCUUUGGGAAUUCGUGGCUAAUUUUAGGCAUGGCAGAAGAUGGUGUGAGCAGAUGUGGAGCUCAAGCAUCUGUGCUUUCUUUUAAAAACCACCUGGAAACAGAAAGCCGUGUGGGGUCUCCAACAGCCCUUACCAGGCCAGAAGGCAAGGGGGGUCAAAUAGAAGAUAAAACACAUUAGAAGGAUAAAUACCCCCAGUUUUACAAUGCCAGACACCUAAACUAUACUGAGCUUUUGUCUGUGUUUCAGGGUGACUCUCUCCGUGUGCCCAGGUGAAGGAAUGGCCCCUCUACUGUCCCAGGAGCAGCUGAAUUCCUGCUGAAGGUUCCAGUUUUUAAAGGUUCCAACUCGAGGCACAAAGAACAUCCUACACCUGUGCCUUGCCUCACCUGUUAGUCCUUCCCGUUGUUCCUCCUGAAGGGGAGCUGUGCUUCCCUGCUCUCUGGAGAAGGCUCUGUCUGGCACCUGGCAGCAAGAGCAUAAUGGAUGAGCCAGAAACAUCCUGCACACACCCUCCAGGUGAGCCUGUGCCAGGCAGGGCCCCAUGUCCCAGCUCCCUCUGAGAAGGAACAGCCCUCCUGGGCCAGCUCAGCUCAGCAGGGACAGCAGAGGAUCUGCCUGUCUGGGGUCACCUGCUGAGCUCUCAGUCAGUGGACAGCCAGAGCUGGGAGAAAGCAUUCCCAGGAAUAGGCCAGCAAUGUCAGCAGAGAGCUGCAGGCUUCAGAGAUGCCUUAGGAGCAGCAGGUCACACACAGGUAUUUCAGGAUGGUCUUCUGCAGCAAUGGUGCAUUUGCUCCUCUUACAACAGCCACUAAUUCUCCUCCCUGGAAGGUGUGGAAAGCAAAUCAGUCACCAAGUGCUUGGGUUGUGCUCUCUGGGCUCUGGAAAUUCCCCACAGCAGCCCAUCACCCACACUAUAUGUAUCAGGCCCUCCUCCCCUCAGAGCUGCUCUGCUCCACUGCAAGAGGGAAAUCUUGGAACAAGCUUCUUUGUGCCUCCUCAUCAGUCUCAGGAUGAAGGAAUGCAGCUUGUGAGAGGUGCGAGGUCCUGCAGAAGCAGCAGACUGAACCUGAAGACUCCACAGGGCAACACACUGGCUGUAUAUUUUUAUCUGCACAGCAUUUGAUUACCAGCAGAUACAGAGCAAAUAAAAUUGUUCCAUCACACAUUAAAGAAAUAAAACAUGCUCCCAAAAGGACCAAUGUUCCCACCA